AGAGUUUGAUCCUGGCUCAGGACGAACGCUGGCGGCGUGCCUAAUACAUGCAAGUAGAACGCUGAAGAGAGGAGCUUGCUCUUCUUGGAUGAGUUGCGAACGGGUGAGUAACGCGUAGGUAACCUGCCUUGUAGCGGGGGAUAACUAUUGGAAACGAUAGCUAAUACCGCAUAACAAUGGAUGACACAUGUCAUUUAUUUGAAAGGGGCAAUUGCUCCACUACAAGAUGGACCUGCGUUGUAUUAGCUAGUAGGUGAGGUAACGGCUCACCUAGGCGACGAUACAUAGCCGACCUGAGAGGGUGAUCGGCCACACUGGGACUGAGACACGGCCCAGACUCCUACGGGAGGCAGCAGUAGGGAAUUUUCGGCAAUGGGGGAAACCCUGACCGAGCAACGCCGCGUGAAGGAAGAAGUAAUUCGUUAUGUAAACUUCUGUCAUAGAGGAAGAACGGUGGAUAUAGGGAAUGAUAUCCAAGUGACGGUACUCUAUAAGAAAGCCACGGCUAACUACGUGCCAGCAGCCGCGGUAAUACGUAGGUGGCGAGCGUUAUCCGGAAUUAUUGGGCGUAAAGAGGGAGCAGGCGGCACUAAGGGUCUGUGGUGAAAGAUCGAAGCUUAACUUCGGUAAGCCAUGGAAACCGUAGAGCUAGAGUGUGUGAGAGGAUCGUGGAAUUCCAUGUGUAGCGGUGAAAUGCGUAGAUAUAUGGAGGAACACCAGUGGCGAAGGCGACGAUCUGGCGCAUAACUGACGCUCAGUCCCGAAAGCGUGGGGAGCAAAUAGGAUUAGAUACCCUAGUAGUCCACGCCGUAAACGAUGAGUACUAAGUGUUGGGAGUCAAAUCUCAGUGCUGCAGUUAACGCAAUAAGUACUCCGCCUGAGUAGUACGUUCGCAAGAAUGAAACUCAAAGGAAUUGACGGGGGCCCGCACAAGCGGUGGAGCAUGUGGUUUAAUUCGAAGCAACGCGAAGAACCUUA
rnacentral:rRNA from 1 species